UUAAGCUCGUAGUUGAAGUUGGCUCUGGAUGGCCGGUCCGCCUCACCCGCGNAGUACUGGUCCGGCUGGAGCUUUCCUUCUGGGGAACCUCAUGGCCUUCACUGGCUGUGGGGGGAACCAGGACUUUUACUGUGAAAAAAUUAGAGUGUUCAAAGCAGGCCUUUGCUCUAAUACAUUAGCAUGGAAUAAUAGAAUAGGACGUGCGGUUCUAUUUUGUUGGUUUCUAGGACCGCCAUAAUGAUUAAUAGGGAUAGUCGGGGGCGUCAGUAUUCAGCUGUCAGAGGUGAAAUUCUUGGAUUUGCUGAAGACUAACUACUGCGAAAGCAUUCGCCAAGGAUGUUUUCAUUAAUCAGGGAACGAAAGUUAGGGGAUCNAAGACGAUCANAUACCGUCUUAUUCUUAACCAUAAACUAUGCCGAUUAUGGAUCGGACGGGAUUCUAUUAUGACCUGUUCGGCACCUUACCAGAAAUCACAGUUUUUGGGUUCUGGGGGGAGUAUGGUCGCUUGGCU
rnacentral:rRNA from 1 species